rnacentral:lncRNA from 1 species
CUCCCUGGAGCUCUUCACGUGAUGACAGGCGCAGAUCAGCGGACAGGCGCGUAACAGGAGGUGCUAAGUGCGCAGGUGGGGUCACGUGCCGCGUCACAGCAGUGCUGGAGGAGAGUCCUGACUCAUGGCCUGGGAUGCUGGGGUUCCUCCCCAGAGAAGCUCUUUUGGACCUGGGAGAAGGAGUAGGACUUUGAUACACCAUGGAGGGCAAAUGGAACAAACAAAACAGUCAAAGAGGAGAGCAGGGAGAGAAGACAGAUUCAGUGUUGCCCUCGGCAGAUGCAGAGGAAACGAGCACAAAACCCUUUCACAUGUGCCGGGCGCAAGCGACGCUGCCCAGAAACCCCGCGCCAAGCCCUGCAGCCGAGGAAUUGGAGCUUCUGUGUUACUCCAAACAAUGCAUCUGUCUUUCAUUACACUCGGAUUUAGAUGAAAUCGGGGCGCUUGUGGGCAAACCAGUGAAGAUUUCAAAUAAGAGAAAUUG